rnacentral:rRNA from 1 species
AGUGAACGCUGGCGGUAGGCCUAACACAUGCAAGUCGAACGGCAGCACAGUAAGAGCUUGCUCUUACGGGUGGCGAGUGGCGGACGGGUGAGGAAUACAUCGGAAUCUACUUUUUCGUGGGGGAUAACGUAGGGAAACUUACGCUAAUACCGCAUACGACCUACGGGUGAAAGCAGGGGAUCUUCGGACCUUGCGCGAUUGAAUGAGCCGAUGUCGGACUAGCUAGUUGGCGGGGUAAAGGCCCACCAAGGCGACGAUCCGUAGCUGGUCGGAGAGGAUGAUCAGCCACACUGGAACUGAGACACGGUCCAGACUCCUACGGGAGGCAGCAGUGGGGAAUAUUGGACAAUGGGCGCAAGCCUGAUCCAGCCAUACCGCGUGGGUGAAGAAGGCCUUCGGGUUGUAAAGCCCUUUUGUUGGGAAAGAAAAGCAGCAGGUUAAUACCCCGCUGUUCUGACGGUACCCAAAGAAUAAGCACCGGCUAACUUCGUG